AGUAGGAUAGCUGGGUAAAAUGGUGGUUUCAUUCCAAGUUUUCCAAGAAAUCUCUAAACUUCUUUCCAGAUUGGUUGCACCAAUUUUCAGUCUUAUCAGCAAU
rnacentral:pre_miRNA from 1 species